rnacentral:rRNA from 1 species
AACGUAGGAGACAAACGUUAUCCGGAGUUACUGGGCGUAAAGGGCGUGUAGGCGGUUAGUUAAGUCUGGCGUGAAAGCUCUCGGCUAAACCGGGAGAGGUCGUUGGAUACUGGCUGACUAGAGGACAGUAGAGGCGUGUGGAAUUCCGGGUGUAGUGGUGAAAUGCGUAGAGAUCCGGAGGAACACCAGUGGCGAAGGCGACACGCUGGGCCGUACCUGACGCUAAAGCGCGACAGCAUGGGGAGCAAACGGG